UGUGGGAGCGGGCUUGCUCGCGAAGGCUUCCAUUCAGUGAUAUAUGCGCUAACUGACACUCGCUUUCGCGAGCAAGCCCGCUCCCACA
rnacentral:misc_RNA from 1 species